rnacentral:rRNA from 1 species
UGGUCAAGUUAUUAAGGGUGCAGGGCGGAUGCCUUGGCACUAGGAGCCGAUGAAGGACGUGAUAAGCUGCGAUAAGCUUCGGGGAGUUGCACGUAAACUUUGAUCCGAAGAUUUCCGAAUGAGGAAACUCACUUAGAGUAAUGUCUAAGUAUCAUUAAGUGAAUACAUAGCUUAAUGAGGGGAACUCAGGGAACUGAAACAUCUAAGUACCUGAAGGAAGAGAAAGAAAU